rnacentral:misc_RNA from 1 species
UGGUUCUGGCAUCGAUGAAGAACGCAGCGAAAUGCGAUAAGUAAUGUGAAUUGCAGAAUUCAGUGAAUCAUCGAAUCUUUGAACGCACAUUGCGCCCCUUGGUAUUCCGGGGGGCAUGCCUGUUCGAGCGUCAUUACACCCCUCAAGCCUGGCUUGGUCUUGGGCUCCGCCGUUCGUUCGGCGGGCCUUAAAAUCAGUGGCGGUGCCUCCGCGGCCCUGAGCGUAGUAAAUUUCCUCGCUUUUGGACCCGGUGGUUACUGGCCAGCAACCCCCAACUUCUAAGUUUGACCUCGGAUCAGGUAGGGAUACCCGCUGA